rnacentral:lncRNA from 1 species
AGAACUCGUGAGCAACUCCUUAGUGGAUUGGGCUGAAAGAAAAUCAAACCCGUGAAAGCCCUGAAUUGAUGUGGUUAUGAAAGCGCAUUGGCCAAGCUGGCUUUCCUUCCUCUGACCCCCAUCUAACUAUGGUGAACGCCCUCGUGUUCAAGAUGGGGGGCCCCUGUUAUUGCAUCUUCACACAUGAUGUCCAAAGCAGGAAGACAGGAAGAGAAGCAAAAAGGGAUUUCUUCUUUGGCUACUAUCUCUUUUAUUGAGCAGGAUAAACCUGCCUCAGCAGACUGCUCCUAUGUUUCACUGACUGUGAGUCACAUGAUUCAUACCUACACAAGUCACUAGGAAAGAGCAGUAGAGAUGCCACAGUUGCCUUAGCCUGGCUGGAUUUGUUCCCUCAGGCUGGACCCAGAACCACCUGAUAAAACUCAGGAUUUAACAAACUAAGAAGGAUGCCAGCUCCAGGAAUGGGCUUAAGGAAACCUAUCUAUUUGCUUAAGGAUUGAGCUUGCCGUCCUGAUCCAGCCAACUCACCAACUGUGCUCCUUCCAUUCCAGUAUUCUCUCCCAGGAAAAAAUUUUUCUUCUACUAUGGUUCUGGCUUUGUGAUCUGUGUACAUUUAAUCAUUCGUGCAGAGCUUUAAAAUUUAUAGUGUGCUUCCAUGUGUAUUAUAAAAUUUGAAUGUUAAUUUUACAACGUGUUUGUACCAAUUUUAUCGCAGAGGACAGAAUUUAGGCCUAGGGAUGAUGUCUAAAAUCAUGCCACAAGAUGUGGUAACAUCAGAACCCUGGCUCAGGGCUUCUGACACUUUUCAGUGAGUUCUUCUUGAGGUAUUUGGCGCCAUUUGCUCUGUACUGAUCAGAGCAUCAAAAUCAGCAGGAUCAAAACAACAGCCAGCCAAUCUAGGCAAAAUCAUUGUACAGACAAUCAUUGGUGUGAACUGACUGAUCGUGCCAAUAGAAUUGACCCUCUUGAUUGUAUGGAUAUGGACAUUCUCAUGUAGGUAGCCAAGUGUCCUGGUGUACUUGGGACUGAGGGGCUUCCCAGAAUGUGGGACUUCCAGGUUUCAAACCAGAACGGUCCCAGUUUUCAAUUUUAGAACAGGAGAAGUCCCAAGAAAACCAGGGCAAGUUGGUCCCCUUAGUCUCAGCCUCUAUCUGCUACCAAACUGUGCUUUCCUGCAUUCUUUGCCCUACGAAGUUCACAAGCUCCCAGUUUUCUUAGCAAACCAACAAUGUGUCUACUUUUGUUUUGUAAAUGACUUUUUCACAUUUAAAAUAUCUAAAUUAAGAGAGCCACAGGUAUAUGUUAGAUAUUCUUUGCUUCUUCCACAGUUGAGAAUUUCCAUGGGAAAUUAGUAGAAAUAGUUUUCCUUGGUUGUGAGGAAAUGCAUGCAGGAAGACCUUGUAAAUUUUAUUUCUUUUCUUUUUCUGCUACCAAGCCCAAUGCAGGCACUUGGCAGCCAAUGUCAGCAGUUAACCAGUUGAGUUGAAUAUAUUUAAAGAUGUUCCAUCCCCUCCACUGGUUCUCUAUAGCUGGUCUUGGACAGUCUGUUAGAAAUCAUCUAGGACUCUUUAAAAAUAAAAACUGCCUGGGCUCUCCCCUGGGCCUAUAUUGGGCAGGAGGUGGGUAGGUAAGGGAAUAUGGAAUGGGUUUGGGGCCCAGGGACUUGCGCUUUUCACAAAGUUCCCCAUGUAAUUCCUGACAUGCUGCCAGCUUCACAAGCAACUGGCUAGAAUCUGUCAUUCAACCUUUUUGAGUGACAACUGAAAUUGUAAUUAUGCUGUUAAAAGAGAACCGUAUAAAAUUGCACAAUCGCUUGUCUUUGUCUUUCUUCCCUUCUCUCCCUUUUUCUCCCUUUCUUUUCCUUUUCUUUAGUGGGAUCAUUCAUAAGAACAUUGGGGGCAAUUUUGGGACAUGUUCAUGAAAGGAAACUUAUAGAUAUUUAAAGUGAAUUUAAACAUGCCUUCUAAAAACUCAGAAAGCUACUUGCUACUUAAUGUCUGUAGAGACAUAAGGCUUGAACAAAAUCUCAGAAUAAAGAGAUCUCUGGGUUCAUCCCCAGCAAGGGGACAUCUCUGGCUGUGUUAUUUACCUGCUGUUAUCUGUUACUGUCCUCCAGUCUACCCCGUCUCCAUGGUCUACACCCACGUGAGAAUCAGUGGACAGAAAGAGAUUUGAUUUACACUGCUCAUUAGGCUACCAGAGCCUCUUGGCUGAGCCAGGCGACCGAGAUGAAAAUUAGUGACAAAUCACAGCCCUGCUUCCUAUAAUGUGACAAAAGCAAGCCCCAUAGCAGUAAAGGUUCUCAUUAGGGCCCCUUUAAAUGCUCAGACUGAUUCUAUUUUUUAAGUCACCAGAAUAGUUAAUACAACGUGUGGGACAACACGAUUUCCAUUGGGGCGCAAUCAAAAAGAAAGCUACUUUCCAUACUUUCUUUAAUCUCUCUCCUCACAUCAACCUGAAGCAGAGCGGAGGUACCCCUGGGAUUCUUGCUCAUCAGCCCUGCCUCCUACAAAAGGGAGAUUUUUGCCUAGACAGCUCCAAAGAGUCUCGAUUCAAAGGUAAAACAAUUAGUACACAUUAAUCAUCACAAGGAUGGUACUAAAAGCAUAAUCCUCUUAGAACUGGAACAAAUUAAAUCCAAAGUAGCAACAUAAAAUCAAGCAGAAAAAACCACCAAGUGAAGGAAGCUGAGAGGACCCUGCUCUGAUGCUCCAAUUCCCAUUGCCUAAGAGGGUGCCCAAGCAUCCCUCAUCUUUGGUCUUUUCACAAAAACUACACUGCCUUCUUCAGCUGCCUGUAAAACUCAAAAGCUCUUUGUGCUGGGGCCAUGUAACCACCUCCUCAGAAAUCGUGAAGUUCUGUGAACACCUACGAGUUGGAAUUCCACAGGAUGGGAUCUGAUUGAUUUUCUAAAAGUGGACAGUUGCUCACAGAACCUGGAAUAAACCCACCAAGGACUUGUAUGGGAGGAGAAAAAAAAAAACAAAAAACCUUCUUUUUCUGCAAAGGAGAAUCUGCUUAAACUUCUAAAUGAGGCCUGGACUACGUUUGAUUUUGACAAGGAAUGGGUGCUCCCUUCGUACCCCACCUGAUGACCCCUGCCUCCUUUUGUUAGUGUUUUUCUGAGCUUCAGUCUGUGAGGCUGGGAAGAAAAGCCACGUAAUGAAAUAAGUAGUGCUGCCAACACCCUCUGUAACAACUGCCAGGCAUGUGGGAUGGGCCCAUCAAUAAGAAAGAUACAAUAUUAUCUUGAGGCCAAUGAUGAAUGUUUGAAAUCCAGGAAGGACAAAGGUAUCCUUCUCACUUUGUCUUGGGGUGUCUUUCAAGAGACUCUGGAUGUUCUCUUGAUUUCUUUCCCUCCUUCCUUUUCACAUUUUCCCAGGUUCCCAGCUAUAUACUAUAGUUUUCCUUGUUCUAGAAACAGUCUCAUUUCAAGUAUACACCUUUCUUCGUGGAAAUAACCAGGCUCUUUUUCUCUGAAUCUUCAGGGUGUCAGAGUAACAAUGGGGCACCAACAAACUCAUGAACUUCUCUCUUGUUCUCACAUAGCCUAACUGAUGCACUGUUAUGUGAGAAGACCUCCUUCCCACCAGAAGUGAGAGAGGGAGGGUCAGAGGAAAUUAAGAGAACACAGAGCCCAUCUUGCCACCAAAGGAACAUGGAACUUGCUAUGUUAUUUGCACACUAAAAGAGAAUUAUAAAAGAUAGGACCAUGCUUAAAACAAGGAAUUACUGGUGGACUUUCAUGUCAGUGUGGGAAAUAUUGGAGAUAAAUGUAUCUUCCCAGAACCCAUACAUCCUGCUUAUAAAAUUGGAACCUCUUCAGAUAUAAUCAGAUUCCUUACUAUGAGAGUAACCCAAUUUACAAAUCCAGUUCCUGUAAUUUAUGUUGAAGCUAUUAAUAUUUACUUGCCCAGAAUUUUUAACUAUCCAUUUUUUUUCUCAUCUUUCUCCACUUUCCUCCUCUCAGUAUACAACCACUGGAAACGAAUUACAUAAUGCUAGGAAAAAGGCCAAGGAGUCAUUGGCCUGAGUUGAGACUCAUCCUUGCAAACACCCCAGAGUUCUCCUAUCUCAGUGCUGUUUGUCUGUAGGAUGGAUUAGGGAGGUGUUCGUUUAUCCACCCACGGCAGAGUGCAGGUUAUGUGAUUGUGAACCUUGUGACAUUUCCAAGAUGGAACAUAUUCAGCUUUUGAUGAGAUUAUUAGCUUUCCCCUUGUCCGAGUCUAACAAAUGAAAACCAGAUUUGCAUGUAUAAAUAACAAUCAAGCGCUGAAAUGAUUUACUUAGUAAAGUUACUGUUUUGGAAACUAAAUCGAUGUGUCAUGUCAAGAUCUGAUCUGCCCUCCACUCACAUGGCAAAGGAGACUUCUCCAGGGUCUACUAGAAAAA